UACGUAGGGGGCAAGCGUUGUCCGGAUUUAUUGGGCGUAAAGAGCUCGUAGGCGGUUCCGUAAGUCGAGUGUGAAAAAUCUGGGCUCAACCCAGUGGAGCACUCGAUACUGCGGUGACUAGAGUACGGUAGAGGAGUGUGGAAUUCCUGGUGUAGCGGUGAAAUGCGCAGAUAUCAGGAGGAACACCGGUGGCGAAGGCGGGUCUCUGGGCCGAUACUGACGCUGAGGAGCGAAAGCGUGGGGAGCGAACAGG
rnacentral:rRNA from 1 species